GGUCAAGCGAAACACCUCUGAAGACCUGGAUUAUUGCAAAGGAGGCUGGAGAAGUCAUUGCAGCUCAUUGCAAUUGCAUGGCAGGACUAUCAGAAUCGUGUUCUCAUGUAGGGGCAGUUCUUUUUUCCAUUGAAGUUGGGGUAAAGAUGCGAGAUUCAGCUUCCUGCACAACAGAGCAGUGCAAGUGGCUGAUGCCAUCACAUGUAAAAAAGAUUCCUGCUGCUCCAGUAGCUCUGAUUGACUUCUCCUCAGCAAAAGCAAAAAAAAAUAAAGCUUGACCGUUCCAUUGAUGGCAGGACAACUGACAACAAGGUUGGGAAAUCACUUCCAUGCCCAAGAGUGAAGAGAGGGUCAGAAACAUAUGCUAGGUUUUUUGAGACAUUAAGCAAAAACUGUCCAAGGAGUGCAGCACUGAUGGCUAGGGAGCCUUACCACAAAGAAUUCAUCCCCAAAUCUUGCAUGCUUCCUAAAACUGUUCUUGAAUACAGAACACCAGAGACUCUGCAGCUACCCCCCAAAGAGCUUGGAGAGCUAUGCCAGGAUCUCCAGCUAGAAGAGCUCACCCUGUCUCAUGUUCAGGCUGUAGAGAGGGCAACUCGAAGUCAGAGUGCAAGCAGGGUUUGGUUUAGGCAAAGAGCAGGACGUGUAACGGCCUCAAAGCUGAAACAAGUUCUUAAGACCAACCCCCAGCAGCCAUCCAAGAGCUUGAUCAAGGGCAUAUGCUACCCAGAAGCAUAUAGGUUCAUCACAGCCGCUACAAGG